rnacentral:rRNA from 1 species
UACGGAGGGUGCUAACGUUGCUCGGAAUUACUGGGCGUAAAGGGAGCGCAGGCGGAUUUGUAAGUCAGGCGUGAAAGCCCAAGGCUCAACCUUGGACGUGCGCUUGAAACUGCGAGUCUAGAGUGCAGCAGAGAGAAGCGGAAUUCCUGGUGUAGCGGUGAAAUGCGUUGAUAUCAGGAGGAACACCUGUAGCGAAGGCGGCUUCUUGGGCUGUUACUGACGCUCAUGCUCGAAAGCGUCGGGGAUCAAACAGG